GACGUAGGGCGCGAGCGUUGUCCGGAUUUAUUGGGCGUAAAGAGCUCGUAGGCGGCUUGUUGCGUCGGCUGUGAAAACCCAUGGCUCAACCGUGGGCUUGCAGCCGAUACGGGCAGGCUAGAGUUCGGUAGGGGAGGACUGGAAUUCCUGGUGUAGCGGUGAAAUGCGUAGAUAUCGUAAGGAAGACCAGUGGCGAAGGCGGGUCUCUGGACAGUUCCUGACGCUGAGGCACGAAGGCCAGGGAGCAAACGGG
rnacentral:rRNA from 1 species